rnacentral:rRNA from 1 species
UACGUAGGGGGCAAGCGUUGUCCGGAAUUAUUGGGCGUAAAGGGCUCGUAGGCGGUUUGUUGCGUCGGGAGUGAAAACUUACAGCUUAACUGUGAGCGUGCUUCCGAUACGGGCAGACUUGAGGUAUUCAGGGGAGAACGGAAUUCCUGGUGUAGCGGUGAAAUGCGCAGAUAUCAGGAGGAACACCGGUGGCGAAGGCGGGUCUCUGGGCCGAUAUUGACGCUGAGGAGCGAAAGCGUGGGGAGCGAACAGG